rnacentral:rRNA from 1 species
CGGGUGAGUAACGCGUGACCGACCUUCCCCCCGCACCGGGUACAACCGCGGGAAACCGCGGCUGAUACCGGGUACUCCGGGGCCCCCGCAUGGGGGCCCCGGGAAAGCUCCGGCGGCGGGGGAUGGGGUCGCGUCCCAUCAGGUAGUAGGCGGGGCAACGGCCCACCUAGCCGACGACGGGUAGCCGGGUUGAGAGACCGACCGGCCACAUUGGGACUGAGAUACGGCCCAGACUCCUACGGGAGGCAGCAGUGGGGAAUUUUGCGCAAUGGGGGCAACCCUGACGCAGCAACGCCGCGUGCGGGACGACGGCCUUCGGGUUGUAAACCGCUUUCAGCAGGGAAGAACCUCUGACGGUACCUGCAGAAGAAGCCCCGGCUAACUACGUGCCAGCAGCCGCGGUAAUACGUAGGGGGCGAGCGUUAUCCGGAAUGAUUGGGCGUAAAGCGCGCGCAGGCGGCCGCUCAAGCGGGACCUCUAACCCCGGGGCUCAACCCCGGGCCGGGUCCCGAACUGGGCGGCUCGAGUGCGGUAGGGGAGAGCGGAAUUCCAAGUGUAGCGGUGAAAUGCGCAGAUAUUUGGAAGAACACCGAUGGCGAAGGCAGCUCUCUGGGCCGUCACUGACGCUGAGGCGCGAAAGCCGGGGGAGCGAACAGGAUUAGAUACCCUGGUAGUCCCGGCCGUAAACGAUGGGCGCUAGGUGUGGGGGGACAUUCCCUCCGUGCCGCAGCCAACGCAUUAAGCGCCCCGCCUGGGGAGUACGGCGGCAACGCUAAAACUCAAAGGAAUUGACGGGGGCCCGCACAAGCAGCGGA